AAAGAAACUAACAACGAUUCUCUCACAGUCACUGCGCGUUUACCGGGAAAAGUCUAAAUUUAAAAUCGCUUGGGUUUACCUGAGUGAGUUGUAAUUUGAAGAAAGUGUUUCGACUUUUCGGGUCCGAUCCAAAUCCUUUGGGAUGAGGUAUCAUCGAGGGUGAGAAUCCCGUUCAUGAUUGAACCUGAGCUGUCAAUGAUUCAUUCUCUAACUCUCGAGUUGUUUGGGAUUCAGGCUCAAAUAUUGUUGGUAAAUCCCACCUAAGGCUGUUAUAUCUGCGAGAGACCGAUAGCGAACAUGUACCGUGACCCAAAGAUGAAAAGAACUUUGAAAAGAGAGUUCCAAAGUACGUGAAAUUGUUGAAAGGGAAACGAUUGAAGUCAGUCAUGCGUACGAGCGGUCAACUUGGUGGCGUGAGUCUCUCAUCUCCUCCGUGUGCACUUCCUCGUCUGGCAGGUUAGCAGUCUAAGGCCGAUUGUCAUCCAAAUAAUUGGGGUAAUGUGGCUUCGCUUCGGUUAGUAGUUAUAGACCUGGUGGAUGUGGCGAUUGGGAUUAGAGGAUUGCAGCGGAUGCCUCUCGGCUAGUCAUCCGAUUCCUGGCUGUCACCUCGCUUUCGACAGCUUGCUGACGAUUGUGGGACUCGGCGGUCUACCUGUCGGUGUUGACUUAAAUUCGCUUGAGGAUGGUCACGUAAUCCGAUUUAACGACCCGU
rnacentral:rRNA from 1 species